CCUACGGGAGGCAGCAGUGGGGAAUAUUGCGCAAUGGGCGAAAGCCUGACGCAGCGACGCCGCGUGAGGGAUGAAGGCCUUCGGGUUGUAAACCUCUUUCAGCAGGGACGAAUUCAGACGGUACCUGCAGAAGAAGCACCGGCCAACUACGUGCCAGCAGCCGCGGUAAUACGUAGGGUGCAAGCGUUGUCCGGAAUUAUUGGGCGUAAAGAGCUCGUAGGCGGUUUGUCGCGUCGGCUGUGAAAACUCGGGGCUCAACCCCGAGCCUGCAGUCGAUACGGGCAGACUAGAGUGCUGUAGGGGAGACUGGAAUUCCUGGUGUAGCGGUGAAAUGCGCAGAUAUCAGGAGGAACACCGGUGGCGAAGGCGGGUCUCUGGGCAGUAACUGACGCUGAGGAGCGAAAGCGUGGGGAGCAAACAGGAUUAGAUACCCUGGUAGUCCACGCCGUAAACGGUGGGUGCUAGGUGUAGGUCGUAUUCCACGCGAUCUGUGCCGCAGCUAACGCAUUAAGCACCCCGCCUGGGGAGUACGGCCGCAAGGCUAAAACUUAAGGAAUUGACGG
rnacentral:rRNA from 1 species